CACAUCCUGAAUGAACAGAAACCGGUGUGAAUUCCUGCAAACUAACCAUUCAAUUAAGGCGCAGUGUUUGCGUAAUCACAGUGACUCACGGAAGAAGAAUGCCAACUGGGAAAAGAUGCCACAAACAGACAUUUCUAUAUCAGCUUCUCAGCUUUUGAAGAACACUGAGAUUUUAAAUGAAAGGAAAGCGUACCAGCGUUAGCCACACACUGCUCUUCUGGUUGACUCCGCUGACGUAGAGGAGGAACAACAAAGUGGUGAAGAAGAAACAGAAGACGGACACAAACAUCACCCAGCCUUGGGGGUUAUCCAUGAGCACCCUCGUAGAGGCAACCAGAAUCCACACCAGACCCCCAAAGACCUGUGGCAUAGAGAAGAAGGAACUGUGAAGAAGCACUUAGCUGAGCAGUGGAAGUUUGUCAGAACACAGUUUAUUCCAUGUCCAUAAGAGUUUGCGGAUCCUCUCGUUCAAGCAGGAAAGGAGGCAGAAUGCAGAACCAGCCAGUUCCUGUGCUGCUCUGAAAUCCCGCGGCUGAUGUACUCACAAACUCCGGAAUGAAGAAGACGUCGGGAACAGUAGUGAAAACCCCGCAGCCGCUGGGGAGUGAGCCGCUCGACGUCGUGGCCAUAGUCCCAAACGAGUGUGUGCCGUCGCAAGAAAACACAGAAAUGAACCUGGUCACCAAUGUCCUAGCCUUUUGAGGACGUGCCCUGACCUCUCCUGUGGCCUGCUCCUCCCUCCCCUUACCCCCCUCUCUAUCAUUCUAUUCAAAUUAAUUUAGAAGAUUCUGGGCCUCCACAACCUAGAAUCAGUGGAAUAUCCUAGCAGGCCAACAGGAGUGGUUUUGCAGAUCUCCAUGGUGCUAAAUAACAUGUUUGUUUGACAGUUUGCAUUGAAACACAAAAGGCCAACACAGAAGGAGGGGGUUACUGUUGUACAGCAAGCAUGUCGUUGUCAAACACCUAAUGGCGCAGUAGGCUUGAAAACAGGAAAACCUUUCACAAAGUUAUGGUGGCAAGACAAGUGUUCUUGCACAUCCUCUCAUCCUCAACCUGUUGAUCAACAUCCAUUAUUCUUCAGUAAAACUUGAGUUCAGAAACAGCAAUAUGUAAUAUGAGUUCAGUAACAGUUUAGAUGACCUAAGAUACUUUCAAAUCAAAGGAUAUUUUGCAAGGCCCGAGCUUUUUAAAGCAGCGUUCUAUUUUUCACAACUUGACUCUGAGAGACAAUUUGAGAAACGUGUUUAUUGGCAAAAAUUUAAUAAACAUUAUCACGUUCGUGGUGCACAAGCCUUGUGAAGGUGCACUCACAUGAAGUGUCACUUUCUGACACUUUUGUGUAAGAAUCAUUUGCACAGUCUUACGAUGACUGUGCAUCCAUCUCCAUUUUGGUUACUGUAAAACAAAACAGACGGUUACGGUGCCUAUAGAGAUAGGUAACAGCAUUGUCAUCCGUCAUCCUUCUCUGUAAUUGAAAUGUCAGUAUCGAUUGUGUCCUCUACCCAUACUGAGUGCGGCAAAGACAGGCAGUUGAGCUCAAACGGUUGCUAGGGUGAGGUAUCCAAGGCCAUAAACAGAAGCCAUUGUCUGAACCUUCACUCUACUAUACAGGUAUCUUUGUUUUCAUAGCCAACAAAUAAAGAAAAUUGCACCCGACCCCUUCAAAUACCCUUGCAGAUAUGGAACAUACUGCUGAAUAUUGUAAAUAUAUGGACUUUUGGGAAAAUACAAUGAUAAAUAUAUCUUACAGUAUUGUAAUUUUUGAAAAUAUACUGUCAUAUUUGGAA